GAGUAUUUUUGAGAAUUAUUACUAAUAUUUACGUUAUUAGUAAAAUAAUGUUCACUCAUUUCCUCUAUUAGUACUCCUACUCCUAUUUUGGAUGCCAAAAUUUUCCUCUAGCACAAUCUUUUGUUUCUUCCAAAUUCCAGUUAUUCUCAAAGAUCCGUUGGCACGAGACUCAGCACUGUUAUGACUCUUGUACAUUAUAUUAUUUUCAUCAAACUUAAGAGACAUUUGUCUGGACUUGUAGUAUCUAG
rnacentral:lncRNA from 1 species